UUUUGCUUAUUGUAUAGCCCAACAAAAUUAAUGUGAAAUGUCAAGUCUAACGGAUGCAAUAAAUUACAUCGAAGGUUUGAGGGCAAUCCAAAAGGACUGUGCUGCUAUCAAUUCAAGUACAUACCAAUUAUAGUUAUGGGCUUAGACACCUAAUCCAACAAUUUCUGCUUCAAGUUCGUGUGCUAUGUUGCUACAUGAUUGGAAGCCAAAAGAUACCACUGCCACCACCUCAUCGCAGUGUGCCACUAGAUCUGGAAUCUGUCAUCUAGUAGCUGGGGUCGAGUCUGCGGGACUUCAGCAGUGUGGGAUUGAGCUUGCGGGACUUCAGCAGUGUGAGGUGAGUUUCCUUCUAGUAGGAACGGGUCUACGGCCACAAUGCCGACCCGUUUAGUUAGCAAUAGUUUCGGACUAGAGUCCGAUGCAGUAGUUCAGUAUGCUUGGUGUCUUUGUGAUACAGACAUGGUAUGAGUUAUGUGUUCCGGACUAUGGUCCGAUGCAGUAUGCAGCAUAUGUGUUCAUAUUAUAUGCUAUGAUUAUGUUAUGCUAUGUUCAGUUAGUUCCAGACCUCGGUCCGAUGCAAUAGUUAGAGUGCUUGAUGUCUUUGUGAUUCAAGCAUGUUUUGUGUUAUGUGUUCUGGACUCUGGUCUGAUGCAGUAUGCAGUGUAUGUGUUCAUGCUAGUUGAUAUGUCUAUGCUAUGUUCAGUCGGUUUCCGGACUUCAGUCCAAUGCAGGGGAUGGGGUCCCAGUCAGUUCCGGACUUUGGUCCGAUGUAGUUAGUUUCGAACUUCGGUCUGAUGCAGGGGACGGGGUCCCAGUCAGUUCUUGACCUCGGUCCGAUGCAGGGGACGAGGUCCGAGUCAGUUCCGGACUUCGGUCCGACGCAGUUAGUUCCGGAAUUCGGUCCGAUGUCGGGGACGGGGUCCCAGUCAGUUCCAGACUUCGGUCUGAUGCAGGGGACGGGGUCCCAGUCUGUUCCGGACUUCGGUCCGAUGCAGGGAACGGGCUCUCAGUCAGUUCCGGACUUCGGUCCGACGCAGUUAGUUCCGGACUUCGUUCCGAUGCAGGGGACGGGGUCCCAGUCAGUUUUGUACUUCGGUCCGAUGCAGGGGAUAGGGUCUUAGUCAGUUCUAGACUUCGGUCCGAUGCAGGGGAUGGGGUCUUAGUCAGUUCUGGACUUCGGUCCGAUGCAGGGGACGGGGUCCCAUUCAGUUCCGGACUUCGGUCCGAUGCACUUUCUGGACUUCGGUCCGAUGCAGUGGGAAAGGCCUAAUAUGUGUUUAUACGUUAUUGUAUGGUAUGUGGUAGUUUGGGGGAGCUCACUAAGCUUCGUGCUUACAGUUUCAAUUUUGGUUUCAGGUACUCAGUUUACAAAAGAGGAGCUCAGGAAGAUUGCAGUGCACGUACCAUUUGUUCAGCCUGGGAUGUUUAUACUUUGAUAUACUUGACAGUUGUUAUAAUAUUUUGAGAUAAAUUGCUUAUGAUUUUUAUAUGAGGUUUAUCGACUAUGGUUUUCUUAUUUAAUUAAACGAAAUUUUCAGACUGUGUUUUUGGGAUGUUUCAAGUUGGUAUCAGAGCCUUGGUUUGAGGGAUUCGGGCACACUUUUGGGUGUGUCUGAACUCAAACUAAGGAAUUGGUAUAGAAAUUUUCAAAAGGAAAAUCAGUUUUUGUAAAAAGGGAGUUUUGAGAAAAGAAAAGGUUUUAGAAAAAGCAAAAAGAAUUUUUAGAAAGAAAAGAACUUUGAAAAGAGAAAAGGGUGUUGUGCAUGCAAUCAGCCGAGCUCAAGUAAGUACUCCCAAAUUACCCAUACAAUUUUAUGUUAUGAUUAUCAGUUUCAGUUUCAGUAGAACAACAUAGUAGAAUAGGACUAAGGAUCUAGGAAUGACUCCUUAUGUGCCUGCUUUAUGUGUUUCAUCCUUAUAAGAAUUGCAUGCUAGUAUUGAGGAGACAGCAGUAGGAUAGCUUGUUUAGGUUAUGCCUGAUAGUAUGAGCUUAACAUUGUAUGCUAGUAUAGUUUCUUGUUAUGAGGAUAGAUUUGCCUGAGUAGUUUCCUGUGUCUGAAUGCUGCUUGCUUUGUGCCUUGUAGGACUCUGAGUGAUGGGAGUUAGCCAUUACGUGAAUACAUCACGUCACAUGUGAUCAGGGUUGAAUAAUCUCAGAGUGUUGGAUUUGGCCCUAUUGCGCAACUCUUGUUUGAGUCCAACCGUUGUAGGGACGAGUCUUUUACUCGAAGGAUUAUUUGAGCCUCGUCACAUGUGAUGGUAUUCAGGUGAUGGCUAAUUGGCAUUACAAGAAGGCCUUCAGCAGCUGAGGGCUAGUUUGGGUCAGAUAUUUCCCUAGGGUAAGCCUAGGAUGGUAGUAGCAGAGAUCAGUAGCAGUAGUAGUGACUUGGUGGAGUCGAGACAGUUCUUGAGGAAAGUACGGAUAUAUGUGGAAGGUAGUAUGGGACCAUACUACUGAAAGCAGAGGAUCCGUACUCAAAUCAAGGAAGGCUGAGAUAAGACCAGGGAACUAGUAGUGUGUAAGAUCCCUCGAGCCUGGAUGAGUAUUAUGAUGUUAGUGAUGACAUGUUGCCGAGUAUAGUGACACUACAUGGUAUACAAGAAGGUAGUUCUGGUGUCGACGAGGGAUCAGGCUCGGACUCUGGAGUCGAGCAGAUUGAUGAUCAAAUGAGGGAGUUCAUUGCAACUAAGAAUUACGCACAACAUCAUUGACCAUACUCCUGUGACCCUCAGUGUGAUCAAGGAGGGAAUUAUAGAGAUUUAUGAUGAGAGGUUGAGUGCAUUAUGCACUGAGAUAACAGUCAUGAUAAAGACCUGUACGUUGAUGUUUUGGGAAUUCAGAGUUUGUGAAGCUUCAGAUUGUCAUGGGGAUUAGGGAACCCAUUGUUAGCAGCAGAUGGUUGGCAGAUGUCACCAACACUUUAAGUACCAGACGUUGUCGCGAAAGGAGACAAUAUUUGACUUACUUCCUGUCUCUUGAGGGAUAGAGCACGAGAUGGAUAUGAAGAGGUUGGUAGUGAGUUGAGUGAUGAUGCGGUUGAUGCUAUGUCAUGGGAUGAAUUUCAGACUAGAUUCUAGGCAGAUUGUGCCCAGGCGAUUGAGGCGCAGCAGAUGGCACAAUAGUUGUUAGAUCUCCACCAGACGACUGAGACUGUGGCAGAGCUCACUGCCAAGUCUCGGGAAAGAGAUUAUAAGGUACCACAAAAUGCAAUAGAUGAGGAAAAGAAGAAGGUAAGUUAUCAAAACAUACUGUAGAGUCAUAGCAGGGAGAUCGUGAGUAUCUCGGGGUGCAAGACCAUGAACGAUAUGACUUCUAGAGCCUGAGAACGAGAUAUGGACUUGGAGCACAUUGGUAAGAGGGAAUCGGAUCAGUUGCUUAUAUUGAGGGGUCUCGGGAGGGGACCCUAGAUUUUGGAUCAGUUUAUGAGAGACCAGCAGGGUUAGAUUCAGUACUGCAUGUGCGGGAAACUGCACGAUAGAAUCUUUCGUUCCAGGGGUUGAGUAAGUGUGACUCUGGGAUUAUCCUCUGUUUAUGUUUGAAUUAUACUUCCAAGAAAAUGGCAUACACCAAUUGCAUACCGAGAAUUUUUAGCGGAUAACGAAAGAUCAUAUUCCCAAAUCGCGGGAUUAGGAGAGUACAUCGUCAUCUUGGUUUAUUCUAAGACUGAGGAGCAACACAGGAAGCACCUGAGGAAGGUGCGAGAGACUUUGAGGAGGGAGAGAAUAUUCGCAAGGUUCUUCAACUGUGAGUUCUGGUUGCGCGGGGUGCAAUUUCUUGGGCACCUUGUCAAUCAGAAGGAUAUUCUAGUCGAUCCGGCCAAUAUAGAGGCCGUGAUGCAGUAGGAGAUUUCGAGGUCUCCAAUUGAGAUUCGGAGCUUCCUGGUUCUAGCGGGUUAUUACCGUAGAUUUAUUCGGGUUCUUGAAAGCGGUGUGAUCAUUUGGACUGAUUAGUAUUGACCCACUAGCAAUGGUAAGAAGAAUCGAGAAUCCUUCUAGUAUUGUGUGCCGUAAGGCUUUAGUUGAAUCAAAGUGGGGGAGAAUCACCCAAGGAUUCAGAAGCAAGAGCGGUUAUGAAUAUGGGAUAAGUUUCGCAUCCUUGUGAGGAAGGAAGAAGGCCAAGCGGCUGUAUGAUUUGAGGAUAGCGUGAGAUGGAAGUUCAAAAAAAACCUUACCAAUAAGGAGAUCGCAUCCCCGUAAUGUUUGCUAGCAAGCCUUAGGGAAUCAGGUUGGGGAUUCCAGUCAGGACAUGAGUUCAGCUGUGUGCGGGUCAAGCGCGUGUUCGAUCCAGUAUUAAAGUGUUGUAAGUCUGCGGGUGUAGCCGUAGCAUUCACUAGCAGUCAGAUAGUAUCAGAGUGUUGUAAGUCUGCGGGUGUAGCCGUAGCAUUCACUAGCAGUCAGAUAGUGAUAGAGUGUUGUAAGUCUGCAGGUGUAGUCGUAGCGUUCACAAGAUUAGCAGAUAGUGCUUGAGUGAGGUAAGUAUGUGGGUGUAGCCACAUCAUUUAAAUAGUGUGAGUGCGUUGUUAAGACACAAAAAGAACAGUAAUACCCACCAGUUCGGGUGUAGCAGUGAGGAUAUGGAAAUCCACGGAUUAGAUUUCGAAAUUUCCCAGACGGAUUAGACCUGGUUAAGCCAGUGAUAAGAUUGUAGAACCGCCACUAUAAAGAUAAGAGCAAGGAAGAAGUGGGCUGCUUAAGGUCAUUUAUGACAUGAGGCUACCAAUGGUCAUGUAGCAACCACUUUAGCCUUGGGUUUGGUGACGUUAGGAUUUGAUGAAUGGACUCGAUCAGUUAGAUCAGAAAGUUAUUAGAACCUCAGUGGCAUGGUAACUAGUGGCAGCUAGUUCUAGAGAAGGAAUAUGUUCAGAAGUCGUGUCAGGCGACUAAGUGGGAGACCUUUAGCUCCGCAGCCAGUCCGGAACCCGGUAUUUCAGAUGAUUGAUGAACAAAAUUGAGACCAGAUAGGUCUCGGUAGAUGUUGGGAAGUAGCCAUGUGACAACAUACAAUUUCAUGCAGUUCAGUGUUCAGACAAUUCAAUGUUUCGGGCAGUUCAGUGUUUCAGGCAGUUCAGUGUUAUAGGCAUUUCAGUGUUUCAGGCAGUUCAGUAUUUCAGGCAAUUUAGUGUUUUAGGCAGUUAAAUGUUUCAGGCAGUUCAGUGUUCAGGCGGUUCAUUUUUUCAGGCAGUCAAUGUUUCAUACAGUUUUGGGUCUCUAGUAGUAAUGGUAUUUGAGGAUCUCAUGUAUGGUAAGCGUAACAGAUAGCUUGGAUUAUGCUAAGUCACUCAACAGGAUUAUCUGAGCUUUCGCCACGUAUAAGUGAAUCCAAGGGAUAAGGGGAUUUAUGAUUCUGUUUUCUAGUGGGAGCCUUGAGUUAUCAAAAGAUGAGUAGGCAACUGAGAGACAAAUGGAUUGGAUCCAACGAUAAUGAUUCAGUUUGGGCGGUCUGUCAGAGCGCCAAAUCAUCACGAGACAGCAGAAUUCAGAUAAGGUAUAUGUGAUCUUGUUGCAAGGAAUUAGUUUGCCUGCCGAUGUUAGGGCUUUGUGAUGAUUUGUCACAGGUAUCCUGAGAAGGCUAGGGUGUACCCAGGAUUGUGGCCAUGUUAUAUGAGUGGUUUGGCGUGUAAGGAAUGGUAAGGAAUGAUUUCGAGGACGAAAUCUAAUUUAAGUGGGGGAGAGUUGUAACGCCCCAUUUAUUUAAAAAAAAUUAAUAAAUGUAAGUGUCAGACUAAUUGGUAAAGAAUUUUGGUAGUUGGGGGCUGUUUAGUAAGUUACGGAAUUAUUUUGAGAAUAAUUUUAGAAGCAAGGGUAUGUUUGGUAAUUAUUGUACCUAAAUUGUAAUGAAUUUUAUUGUAAGGGGCUAAAGGGGUAAAUUAUGGAGUUAAAUUGAAAAAAAGAUUUGGGAGGAGGGACUAGUAUUGGCAUAAUGGUUGAAUGUUUGGAUGGGACACGGGUUAAGACCCGAUGCUCAUUCUUUCCCGCUUCAUGAAUAGAAGCCGAGUACCCUAACCCUAAUUUAUGCUCAGCCGUCACUUUUCCUUCCUCAAAUGUCCGGCCGCUACCACAAGAAGCUACCGCAUGCGCCAUCUCUCCCUCCGCCACUGCUUUAUCGCCACCCUACCCCCUGGCUUCUACGAUCAACCAAAUCACUGAUGAACCAUGGUGCCUUCUCGUCACCAUCGAAGACGGAGACCAUAGCGUGACGCUGCUGUUCAGUCAGUAGCGUUAGGAGGCGGAUCGUAGCCACCAUCUCUGGCCAUUAGAGCACACAGCCGCCGCCAUGACGAGCAUUGUUUCUGCUACUUCUCUGCCGCUUCUUUUCUUCGGUUUCAUUAUUACUCCUCUGCCGACGAUGACAAGGCCGCUGCUACCUCCCUCGUUUCCUGUUGCGUCGUUACAGGUCCGAUGCCACCACCAGGGCAAUGCGUGGUUGCUCCGGUCACGGUUUGCCACUCGAUAGGGGUCGAGUUAAUGUUUCACGUGGGUUUGUUUGGGUGCGUUUCUGCUUCAAGUUCGUGUGCUGUGUUGCUACAUGAUUGGAAGCCAAAAGAUACCACUGCCACCACCAUAAGGUGGUGGCUGCCACCGCAAUGUGCCACCAGGUGGGUGGCUAGGGCUGUUUUGUAAUCAGUUAGGGCGUAUAAGUGUUAUUUUGGUGAUAUGUGAUUGGGUUUGUUGGCCGGAAAAUCAAGAUCAGCCACUACCACCACCGUGAGGUGGUGGCUGCCGCCACGAGCCACCGCCGGCCACCACGAUGUGCUUGUGUGUGUGUGUUAGUUAGUUAGUGUGUGUUUAUCCUUGAGUAAAGAGUUGUAAUUGUAAUUUCCAAAAGAUUAAUGAAAAGAAACUCAAACCACCACCGUAAGGUGGUGGCCGUUGUCAUGAGUCCCCAUUGACCACCACUACUCGAGGUGGUAGUGGGUGGUGCCCCGCUAGCAAACCCUAAUGGGCUUAGAGAUUGGUUUUGGGCCAUGUUUGGGUGGAAAACCCUAAUUAUGAGUAUUGGGCCUUAGACUUAUUGGGUCACUUAUGGGCCAUUGCGAUUGGAUUGUGAAUUAAGCCCAAAUUAUUCCAUGCCAUUUAUCUAGUAUAGUAAAGGACUUAAUGGACUAAGUCCUUAAUGGGCUAAUUGAGAAAAUCCUAAUAUUUGAGAAAUUAUCAGGACGCACACGAGAAUUAUUUAAUAAGUGAAAUAUUAAAUAAUAAUCAUUGGCAUAAAUUAAUCUAAGCAAUAAUGGACUUAAUGGAUUAAGUCCUUAGUGGAUUAAGUCCUUAAUGGGUUAAGCCCUUAAUGGGUUAAGUGAGAAACACUUAACCCUAAUUGUCAUUUCAUGUGAAACCCUAAUGUCACAUGGGCCUUGAGUUGGACUUUUCAUUUGGGUAAUUGGUAAUUGGGCCAAUAAUGGGCCAUCCAAGAAUGAUUAUGGACUAGAAUAUUUAGUUGGGCUUUAGGGUAAGGCCCUAAUGAAGGAUUGGGCCUAAUUUUGAAAAUUAGGCCAUGUGUUGGGCUUUGAUCCCUAGUUGACUUUGGGCCUAUUGUUUGGACCUUGGGCUUGGGUAAGCCAAGCUUAGGGUAAUAGAGUAAUUAUCCAAAGUAUGUACUUAUAGUUAUGUAGUGGAACCCAAUUAUUAAUUGGGUGUUAUUUUGAUGUUGACAGAUCUGGAAUCUAUCAUCUAGCAGCUGGGGUCGAGUCUGCGGGACUUCAGCAGUGUGGGAUUGAGUCUGUGGGACUUCAGCAGUGUGAGGUGAGUUUCCUUCUAGUAGGAACAGGUCUACGGCCACAAUGCCGACCCAUUUAGUUAGCAAUAGUUUCAGACUAGAGUCCGAUGCAGUAGUUCAGUAUGCUUGGUGUCUUUGUGAUACAGACAUGGUAUGAGUUAUGUGUUCAUAUUACAUGCUAUGAUUAUGUUAUGCUAUGUUCAGUUAGUUCCGGACCUCGGUCCGAUGCAGUAGUUAGAGUGCUUGAUGUCUUUGUGAUUCAAGCAUGUUUUGUGUUAUGUGUUCCGGACUCUGGUCUAAUGCAGUAUGCAGUGUAUGUGUUCAUGCUAGUUGAUAUGUUUAUGCUAUGUUCAGUCAGUUUCCGGAUUUCGGUCCGAUGCAGGGGACGGGGUCCCAGUCAGUUCCGGACUUCGGUUCGAUGCAGGGGACGGGGUCCCAGUCAGUUCCGGACUUCGGUCCGAUGCAGGGGACGGGGUCACAGUCAGUUCCAGACUUCGGUCCGACGCAGUUAGUUCCGGACUUCGGUUCGAUGCAGGGGACGGGGUCCCAGUCUAUUCCGGACUUCGGUCUGAUGUAGUUAGUUCCGAACUUCGGUUCGAUGCAGGGGACGAGGUCCCAGUCAGUUCCGGACUUCGGUCCGAUGCAGGGGACGGGGUAUCAAUCAGUUCCAGACUUUGGUCCGACGCAGUUAGUUCCGGACUUCGGUCCGAUGCAAGGGACGGGGUCCCAGUCAGUUCCGGACUUUGGUCCGAUGCAGUUUCCGAACUUCGGUCCGAUGCAGUGGGCAAGGCCCAAUAUGUGUUUAUAUGUUAUUGUAUGGUAUGUGGUAGUUUGGGGGAGCUCACUAAAAUACACAAACCAUUAAUGUAUUACUAGAAAGUAGUUUACUUAAUUGUUAAUUAUUGAUAGAAAAAAGGAGAAGCGAAUACCAGUAUUGUAAAUAGGAAAUAUGUGAGAUCUUAUUGCUCAAAUUAGUUUUUUUUAUAUUUUGAAGUGAAAAAACAUGUCUAGUUCGAAGCAUAUUAGCUCAAAUUAGUAUUUUCUUUCAUUAAGACCACGUGUUUUAGGCAAUGUGUUAAUAUCUAAUUUUAAACUCAAAUGUAAUCGUUUGCAAACUCUUGCCCAUUGGCAUCACAUAACAGAAAGAAGGCAUCAAGUCAAAAUUUAACCCUAGUAUAACAAGGAACAACUAAUAUUAAUAUAUCUUCAAAAUUUUGUGAAAACUUAAUAUAAUAAGUUUCUAUUUUGAAAUUCUAAAGAAGAUCGCCCUAAGUCAUUUCAUCAAACAGUUUAUGUGCUAAACAUAAAUUAAGCCGGAUUGAAAUGUGAUGAAGCAAUUAUAAAUAAACAAAUGAUUUCCACUUCACCAACUGAAGUUUUUACAAACGAUAAUCUGUUGCUAUUCAACCCCACUGAAACAAAUCAGUGAAGAAUGUGCAAAUCAACGUGAUGGAAAUCUAUAGACAAAAAAAAUAAGGAUUGAAACUAAUGCUUACCAUUCUGUCGAUAACCACUCUGGAUUGUUAACAGAUGGCUUCAAGGAUGAUAAACGCUUCAACGGAUAUGAACAAUGGAGAUCGAGUAGUGGAUAUCGGCGGGAUAGCCGGACGUGAGCAGUCGACAGAGGGUCCUCUCGUGUGGUCGAAGGUAAGCAACGUGGAGGAAGCACCAGUGCUGAGCAGCAGAAGUGACCAACACCGAUUGACAGUCUUCUGGUGUGGCCGGAGACGCCUACAUUUGGCUGGAGACGGAAUCGUUUGGACUUUGGAGGAUUCACGAUGUAGGCUGAAUCCAUCUUUGCCCGAUCAAAAGGAACACGGGUUUAAAAGCCCUAAUCUUUUAAGUUGAUCCACUUGUUGCAAGCAAAGACGCCCUUAUUUAUUUAUUGAAUUAUUUAAUUUUUUAUUUAAAUUUGAUUGGCCCACAUUGAUGCAUAUAAUAACACAAUACUUACUUUGAAUACCGAAACCUGGCUCUAUACAUAUAUCUACAUAU